GCGACGUACUUCGAUAAUUGCCUGUAGUGUUUUAAGGCACUUGUCUUUCUCUAGAGAUUAGAAAUAAUGCAGGGCCAUCAAUGAGCGGGAUCGAAUGUCGUGCUGAGGAACGUCGCCGAAAGAAGGCCGAUGCGAUGCGACGGCGACGACAAGCCGAAUAAGGCGAAGCCCGUAUGGCUCGUCUGGCUGCAGCGGCUGAAUCGAAGCACCGACAGCGUGCUGCAGGCAUAGGAGAAACGCCAGCUUCGGUUAGCAGGGGCGGCUGAAGCGAAGCCUGCUAUGCGUCAUGUGCACCUUGCUACAAGUCGGGCGGAAGCCGAGGCGAAACUUUGUUGGGAGGUUGUGAUCACGGGCACCGAGGAUUGAGGAAUGUGGCUUUAGCAGCUGCUAAAUAAGAAAAAAAAACAAUGUGACAUGCGCACUACAUGGGGAUGUUGUUGGGUUCCUCAGAGACCGAAACAAUGCUUAAUGAGCGGACGGUUGGACAACAAAAGAAGAAACUAGCAAAUAUGAUGCAAAAUAUUAUUCAUAACCUAUAGUAACAAAAAAAUAAAUCAGACCAAUGAAUAAGAAGCGCACAUAAUUCAGCAGUCAAUGUACCAAAUUAAACCGAAUAUUACUUGCAAAUAGGGAAAGCAAUGAAAGUAAACCAAGGCUUCUGUAAUGUUCGUGUAACAGAGCUGAAUACUUUCAUAGCAAUUAAAAAAAAAACUGUCGGCACAAGAUAUCCUUAGGACUGUUAUUUUGCGACCACUACAGAGAUAUCACUUCACCUCAACGCUCCAAAGACAUGGCUUUAUCUGCACUGUCGAUCUAAGCUUCAGCCAAGCGUCAGCGUGUGCCUUCUUGCGAAGCGGUCAGUUUUGAAGUAAAAAUUGCACGGUUGAAUGAAUAGCUGUAUAGUUGUAGAACAGAAUGAAUAGCUGUACUCUAGAGGGGGAAGAAGAAACUUCGAUCAUAACUGUCGUUUAUUGAGGCGGUCAAGACGAAGAAGAAGUAACGUGAGCUGAGCAGGAAUAUGCUUGUUUCGCCUCGUCCAGCAGCUUUGUGAUUUUCAGCCUCUUACCAAAGUGUCAUUUUCGACGGAAACUCGAAUCUCGUCACGUUGUCGCGGAGUACACUUGAAAGGUCACAGUUAACGCCAUCAUGGAGAGGGAAGCUUAGCAACGUCGGCCCUAGCUUUGGCCAUGCAUGGUGCGAAGCGUUCUUCAGAUUCCAUAGAUGGGGUGCAGAUUACGCCCGAAGUUGGAACAGCUGACGUAAAGCAGGCAAGAUCCAAGGACUCGCGCCUGGUGAGUCCAGCGCCGAAGAAACCUAGCGUCGCCACUACCACUGGAGGACACUCGGAAGCCGGUACUCGUUCAAGCAACCCCAGCGAUGGCUUCGCAGCCGCCAGCUUGGACGGAGCCUCUGCAGCGUUGCCACAACAUUCAAGGCCCCGAAAGAAAAACCUCUCGUCUUCGACGUCCAAGGCUUCUUUGACGACUUCUUCGACGUCGAAGAAGCGACCCAGAACAGCCGAGUUGCAGAAGACAGCGCAGUUGUCAUCGUCGUCGUCGUCGUCGUCGUCAGUGACGCCCGGAAAAGAGCAAGAACCUCAAGUCAGCUCCGUACUACAGUCUAACGCUGCGGAAAGUACCACCAAGCCUAAGCCUAAGCACGAGCACACCGGGCACAAGUAACCUUCCCAGAAGGCCACCACAACCAAAGCACCGACAAUUCACGCUAUGAAUGACAUUUCAGAAGCAAGGAAAUGCGAUUCGACCCUUUCACAGAGAAAAAGCAGAACCUUGUCCGCACCGACGACACCAACAGGACCAGCAGAAAUGCGAAGCGGAGGCCCAGUCGAGAAAUCGCAAGCGACUGCAGUGGCCGUCCCUUCCAAGAGGUCAAUGCAGACGUCAAGCAGGUCCACUACCCAAGUGACCUCAAAGGUGACACCGAAGUCGCAAGAUUCCCAGGUUCCUGUAAAAAUGAACGAUGGCCGUGACAUUGUAGCUGUCGCUUCGGCGAGAACGGAAAUUGUAGGCAAAUCAGUAGAAGCUCCUGCUGCCAAUGCCGAUGAGGUAGACAAGGCCGUCAAUGCGGGAACCAUGGUUGGGGAGACUUCUGUGGUUGUCGCCAAGGCAUCAGAUUACCGUACGGGUGCUCCCGAUGGCGGCAUGGGACAGAAUCGAUGCGCCUACCGUGGCGGUGGCGUAACCGCAAAUUGGGAGAAGACGGGCCCCAAGAGAAGCACUGGUUCCACGUUUCCCCGGUCUUUCUACCGACACCGCAUUGCAGCUUAUCUGCCCUGGGCCACAAGGGACAGCCGCGAGCAAAUACAACGCGAGCGCCCAGUGCCUGCACCGGCUGCACUACCGACUUGGUCUGCAGCGCCACACCAUCGGCAGCGGCAAAGUGCAGCGUCACGCCAUGUACCUCCAGGCCUUCAGCUUGCGGCUGGCCUACGAGGGCCUGCUUGCGAGCUUCGGACAAGAGGCCCUCACCGACGAGUCCCGCAUGCUGUGGCCCGAGGCGCAGAAGACGUUCUUCAUGCGCUUCUGUCUCCUGUCUUGUAACAGCGACCAGAAGCCCAAUCCGCUGUCCCCUCGAGCUGGUUGCCUUUUGCCGCUGCACGCCAUGCCGGAGUUCACCCCGCGGCGCUGCACACAAUGUACCCCGAACAGUUACCAAGCCCGGAGUCCCGUCUGUGUGGCGAUUAUGCGAACUUCGAACAUGGCCUCUGGGGCUGCGCCUCUGCCGGUCCUCCUUUCACCCAAGAGGAUAUGAUGAAGUUAAUUAGCGCCCAGGAUCAGACCUCUCAAGUCCUGGCAGUCCAGAGGGCUCGCG